UGAGGAAUAUUGGUCAAUGGGCGCAAGCCUGAACCAGCCAUGCCGCGUGCAGGAAGAAUGCCCUAUGGGUUGUAAACUGCUUUUAUUUGGGAAUAAACCUUUCUACGUGUAGGAAGCUGAAGGUACCAAAUGAAUAAGCACCGGCUAACUCCGUGCCAGCAGCCGCGGUAAUACGGAGGGUGCAAGCGUUAUCCGGAAUCAUUGGGUUUAAAGGGUCCGCAGGCGGGAUUAUAAGUCAGUGGUGAAAUCUCAUAGCUUAACUAUGAAACUGCCAUUGAUACUGUAGUUCUUGAAUUCGGUCGAAGUGGGCGGAAUAUGACAUGUAGCGGUGAAAUGCAUAGAUAUGUCAUAGAACACCGAUAGCGAAGGCAGCUCACUAGGCCUG
rnacentral:rRNA from 1 species